rnacentral:rRNA from 1 species
UGGGGAAUAUUGCGCAAUGGGCGAAAGCCUGACGCAGCGACGCCGCGUGAGGGAUGAAGGUUUUCGGAUCGUAAACCUCUGUCAGAAGGGAAGAAACCGCACUGUGCUAAUCAGCAGUGCCUUGACGGUACCUUCAAAGGAAGCACCGGCUAACUCCGUGCCAGCAGCCGCGGUAAUACGGAGGGUGCAAGCGUUAAUCGGAAUUACUGGGCGUAAAGCGCACGUAGGCUGCUUUGUAAGUCAGGGGUGAAAUCCCACGGCUCAACCGUGGAACUUCCUUUGGUACUGCUUAGCUUGAAUCCGGGAGAGGGUGGCGGAAUUCCAGGUGUAGGAGUGAAAUCCGUAGAUAUCUGGAGGAACAUCAGUGGCGAAGGCGGCCACCUGGACCGGUAUUGACGCUGAGGUGCGAAAGCGUGGGGAGCAAACAGG